AUUACUAAUUUACUUUGUUUUAACUUGUCAAUUGAAAUUACACUAUUGAUUUCAAACUAUUACAACCUUUUUUCUCAUCUUCUUAAUGUAUCUAAUGCCUACAACUCAGAUAGUGUUUGGGUACCAUUUAGGGUCCCAGUAUGUAUAGAUCCAAAAUCCUAAGAGCUGUUGUUUGAACUACUUGUCUUAAAAUGGUUCUUUUCAUCUUUCUGUUUUCUAUGCCAUUGCAUGUCACUGAGGUAGUUGGCACUCCUAAUUACAUGUGUCCUGAGCUCCUAGCAGAUAUACCUUAUGGCUACAAAUCAGACAUGGUCAAUUGGAUGCUGUAUGUUCGAAAUUGCAGCACAUCAACCAACAUUUAGAGCUCCUAUAAGUACAAGCCUGAUCUUCUGCUACAAAUGUAGCAUAAAUAUAAUUUGGUUACCAGCAUAGCACCUGCAAUUUACUUUAGUAUGAACUUCAAAGUAUGAUAGGGAGCUACCUACUCUUGCCGUUGAGAUCUAGUCAGUAGUCACUCUUUUAGCCUUCUCGCAUUAGAUCAGCUGAAAAGGUAUGUUUGAUUACCUCCCUCCUACUACAAUUUUGGUUUGCUUUGUUCUCCAAAUCUUAGUCUUUUGCAACGAAUAUAACUCGAUGAGAAGGAAUUCGCACUAACAUAAUUGAAAAUUGCAUUUGAUUGUGGAAAGGGAGUGGCCUAUUUAGAAAAUUUACUCUCUAAAUUUGGAUCUAUAUUGUAGAAU